AUGAUAUCAAGAUAGUACACCAGCAUAGUGCAAGUGUAGACCCCGGAGCUAGUGCAUCAGCAUGACUGCGAGCGUGUCUAGAUGCAGAGAGGUAAUGCUGCAAGAGUUACAUCUUUAGGCUCGUGCUCGAGCAGGUGUGGUUCGAUAUCUCCAAUUGUAAAACUUUUACCGUUGCCGGGUUUAUCGAUUGGAUCUCAACUUUAGGGCUUCCGUCGUAUCUUCUGAGAUUGUACUUUGGUUCACCGGGUAUCUACGGGAAUUUUGCGGAAUCGACUUUGCACUUGGUGCUGAGGCUUCGUGGUGGCAUCAUAGAGCCGUCCUUGAUGGCAUUGGCUAGGAAGUACAACCAGGACAAAAUGGUAUGCCGCGAAUGCUAUGCGUGCCCGCACCCUCGUGCGGUCAACUGCAGGAAAAAGAAGUGUGGGUCACAGCAAUCAGGUAGACGACUGCUCGAUCUACCUUCUUGAGCUGUGGAUAUUGCUUUCUGUAGAGACCAGAGACGCAUAAUCUAUCGUUCUGUUCUGCAGCUGAGGCCGAAGUAGAAGAUCAAGUAGAUUGCCGACCAGCCGCCGAAUGGGUGGCAAAUGUUUCCGAGAGAUGGUACGCUAGAAAGUUUAGAUAGAUCUACAGCUACCGAGAUUCGGACAUUAUGUUGUCUCGAGAGGAUUGUGGUGCACAUGGUAUAGUGGUUUUUGAUAUGACAUGACCUUGAGCAAGUUUUCGGGUUAUGAUAUGAUCUUUCUGUUUCUGAUUUGGCUAAUAUCAUCUCAUUAGUAGUGAGCGGUCUUCUUCUGGUCCAUGCUCGUUCCAGUUUCACCAA